AACGAGCAAAAUUUGAUAGAGUCAUACAACAAAAUAUUUUCAUAGCAAUGGACAUGAAUGAACCUUACCUAAAUCAUAACUCUUAAAAAAAAAUCGGACUUCUGCUCAAGAUGGUGGUGCCACGGAGAGCAGAGGCGAGGUGAAAAAAACAGGACCUCAGGGGCCUCUCUGUCAGGCAACAUAACAUGGCAGCAGUGUGCACAUACAUUCCAACGAAUGUUUAAAAAAGGCCCCUCAAAUGUUGACUGAACGCGAUGUCUAAGAAGCAGAAAAAGGAAAGGGCCUGCCACGGAGACCCAAUCAGUCUGCAAGGAUUGCGAACGCCCCAUGUGGUGCAACGGUGGGUCCCCGCCCUUUCCGCCAGGUUGCUCCAGGGACCAGGCAGCAGGAGCUUCUUUUCCAUGUCACAACUGUGAGUAAAGGUGGGCAGUGGGAGAAGUACAAAAUUAAAUUUUUAAAAGAAAACAAAAUAAAUGAGGGCAGUCUUUCUGCCAGCACCUGAAAUCUGGCCUCAAGUGGGAGCUGGCUUGAGAAUUGCCCUUCCGGAAUCUGCUGAAGAGUGGAAUGGGGGUGGGGGAGGUCGAGUUACAUCAAGGUUGUAGAAAGGGCGAAAGAGUGGUGCUUUUACUCUCACAACAAGAAAAUUGGAGAUAUUCUUCUUGGAUUCAACAUCUGUGUAGUCUGUUAAAUUCAAAGGGGCGUGGCCAAGCCUUUGGCUGCAUACUUGGAAUAGCAUGAAAUGAGGGAAACAGAGAGAGAAUACUAUUGAAACUGUGUGUUCCCAUGGUCCUACGGUUACAGACACAGUAGGUAUUGCAUAUAUUUCCAAAACUCCUUCCUUACCUUAAAAUUUCCUCUCGUCUGCUCUCCCCAGCUUCCCCCCCACCGCCCCAGAAUUUCCAAAUCAUCAAAUAGCAAGGAUUAAAGUAAACUAGAGACAAGGGAAGAUGCAAUAGGUCAAGAACACUGGCAAUAAAAGAUACUAUAAAGAGAAGAAAUGAUGGAGU
rnacentral:lncRNA from 1 species